AGAGUUUGAUCCUGGCUCAGGAUGAACGCUGGCGGCGUGCCUAAUACAUGCAAGUCGAGCGAACGGACGAGAAGCUUGCUUCUCUGAUGUUAGCGGCGGACGGGUGAGUAACACGUGGAUAACCUACCUAUAAGACUGGGAUAACUUCGGGAAACCGGAGCUAAUACCGGAUAAUAUUUUGAACCGCAUGGUUCAAAAGUGAAAGACGGUCUUGCUGUCACUUAUAGAUGGAUCCGCGCUGCAUUAGCUAGUUGGUAAGGUAACGGCUUACCAAGGCAACGAUGCAUAGCCGACCUGAGAGGGUGAUCGGCCACACUGGAACUGAGACACGGUCCAGACUCCUACGGGAGGCAGCAGUAGGGAAUCUUCCGCAAUGGGCGAAAGCCUGACGGAGCAACGCCGCGUGAGUGAUGAAGGUCUUCGGAUCGUAAAACUCUGUUAUUAGGGAAGAACAUAUGUGUAAGUAACUGUGCACAUCUUGACGGUACCUAAUCAGAAAGCCACGGCUAACUACGUGCCAGCAGCCGCGGUAAUACGUAGGUGGCAAGCGUUAUCCGGAAUUAUUGGGCGUAAAGCGCGCGUAGGCGGUUUUUUAAGUCUGAUGUGAAAGCCCACGGCUCAACCGUGGAGGGUCAUUGGAAACUGGAAAACUUGAGUGCAGAAGAGGAAAGUGGAAUUCCAUGUGUAGCGGUGAAAUGCGCAGAGAUAUGGAGGAACACCAGUGGCGAAGGCGACUUUCUGGUCUGUAACUGACGCUGAUGUGCGAAAGCGUGGGGAUCAAACAGGAUUAGAUACCCUGGUAGUCCACGCCGUAAACGAUGAGUGCUAAGUGUUAGGGGGUUUCCGCCCCUUAGUGCUGCAGCUAACGCAUUAAGCACUCCGCCUGGGGAGUACGACCGCAAGGUUGAAACUCAAAGGAAUUGACGGGGACCCGCACAAGCGGUGGAGCAUGUGGUUUAAUUCGAAGCAACGCGAAGAACCUUACCAAAUCUUGACAUCCUUUGACAACUCUAGAGAUAGAGCCUUCCCCUUCGGGGGACAAAGUGACAGGUGGUGCAUGGUUGUCGUCAGCUCGUGUCGUGAGAUGUUGGGUUAAGUCCCGCAACGAGCGCAACCCUUAAGCUUAGUUGCCAUCAUUAAGUUGGGCACUCUAAGUUGACUGCCGGUGACAAACCGGAGGAAGGUGGGGAUGACGUCAAAUCAUCAUGCCCCUUAUGAUUUGGGCUACACACGUGCUACAAUGGACAAUACAAAGGGCAGCGAAACCGCGAGGUCAAGCAAAUCCCAUAAAGUUGUUCUCAGUUCGGAUUGUAGUCUGCAACUCGACUACAUGAAGCUGGAAUCGCUAGUAAUCGUAGAUCAGCAUGCUACGGUGAAUACGUUCCCGGGUCUUGUACACACCGCCCGUCACACCACGAGAGUUUGUAACACUCGAAGCCGGUGGAGUAACCUUUUAGGAGCUAGCCGUCGAAGGUGGGACAAAUGAUUGGGGUGAAGUCGUAACAAGGUAGCCGUAUCGGAAGGUGCGGCUGGAUCACCU
rnacentral:rRNA from 1 species